CACUAUUAUCAUAUUAAAUUUAGAUAAUAUUAUCAAGUCCAGUCUUUUACAAUGUACAAUUGGUAGGUAAGUACAUUUUCCACCCUUCUUGGUUCCAUCUUCUAUGUGUUUUUUCUCACUUCUUUCCCUCCAAGCCAAGAACCUAAAACCCUUAAAACCCUUGCCCCCUUUUCUUAUCUCACACAUUAUAUCAUCAAUUACACACAACUUUCCAUGAAAUUACAGCUACAAAUAAUGUACAUGUGAUAAAAUUUUGAAGAAUCCAACCCAAAAAAGCCUAAAAAUUUCAUACUACAUGUUAAGAUUAUCAAGAAUGAAAUCACUUAUUUCCCCAGUACUUUCAAGACCCAAUACCAUUCCUUUAUCUUUCUGUUUUCAUUUUCAAGAACCCAUUUUUGUGUGUAGGAAAUAUGGGGUGCUUCUUAGUACUUUCAAGAACCCUAGUUAUGUUAAAAAAGUAAACCCCAUAAGUAAAGUUUCUUCUUUUAGAUGUUGUUCUACUGUUCAAAACCAUAGUCAAAUUAAUGUCUUGCAUAGUGAUGAUUCAGGUUCUGGUGAGGUUCAUGUUAUUGUGGGUCCUAUGUUUGCUGGAAAAACUACUACUCUUUUGAAGAGGAUAAAAACUGAAAGAAGCAAUGGCAGUUUUCAGGCCAACGGCGUAAAGAAUUCCCUCUAUUUGGACGAGACAAUAAAAGGUCUCUGUUUCUCAGGAAGGGUGGCUGAAGCAGUUGGAAUAUUGUGCCGUUCUGGUGUACAGGUGGAGGCAGAAACUUAUUCCCUUGUUUUGCAAGAGUGCAUUUUCCGGCAAACUUAUAAAAAAGGGAAAAGAGUCCAUUGGCAAAUGAUUAUUGUUGGCUUUGUUCCAAAUGAGUAUCUGACUAUUAAGUUGUUAAUUUUGUAUGCAAAAGCAGGAGACUUGGAUACAGCACAUGUUAUAUUUGAUAAGUUGCAAUUCAAAUGUCUGGUUUCGUGGAACACUAUGAUCUCUGGAUACGUGCAGAAGGGCAUGGAGGAAGUUGGCCUGAGUCUCUACCAUAAUAUGAAACAGAGAGAUGUACUUCCCGAUCAAUAUACUUUUUCAUCAGUCUUUAGAGCCUGUGCCGCUUUAGCUGUCCUGGAUCAGGGCAAGCAAGCACAUGCUUUGUUGAUUAAAAGCCAAAUUAGUGGAAAUAUUGUAGUUAAUAGUGCGCUUAUGGACAUGUAUUUCAAGUGUAGUUGUCCAUCUGAUGGGUAUCUUGUGUUUAGUAAGUCCUUGGAAAGGAAUGUGAUAACAUGGACUGCUUUGAUAUCCGGGUACGGACAAAACGGAAGAAUAAAAGAUGUUCUCGAAUCGUUUCAUAGGAUGAUCGAUGAAGGAUUUAGGCCAAACCACGUAACGUUUCUUACGGUUCUUUCUGCUUGUAGCCAUGGUGGUUUGGUAGAUAGAGGUAAGGAGUACUUUACAUCGAUGACGAGAGAUUAUGGGCUUCGACCGAGAGGAAAACACUAUGCAGCUAUUGUGGAUCUUCUAGGCCGUGCUGGAAGAUUACAAGAGGCUCAUGAGUUUGUCAAAAACUCGUGUUGUGGGGAUCACCCAGUAUUAUGGGGCGCUUUACUUGGGGCUUGUAAGAUUCACGGAGACAUCGAGAUGGUAAAACUUGCCGCCCGAAAUUUCUUUGACUUGGAGCCUGAUAAUGCUGGAAAAUAUGUUGUUUUGUCUAAUGCUUAUGCUUCUUUCGGUUUGUGGAACAAUGUUGCGGAGAUAAGGAGAUUGAUGAAGGACUCGGGGGUGAAAAAGGAGCCUGGUUAUAGUAUGAUUGAGGUUCAAAGACAAGCACAUUUCUUCUUUAUGGAGCAUAAUGCUCAUGAACAGACUGGUGAGAUAUAUAAAUUGGUCAAAGAUAUGGCAGGUGUUUUAAAAGAUGCUGGUGAUGUUCCAGAUUUACUGAGUUAAAGGGAAAGGACCAACAUCGACAUAGAUUGAGCAUUUUGGUUGAAUCCUCAGCUACUUAGCUGCAAAGAGUCUUGUUAAAAGGGCAACUUAGUCAGAAAUCUUCUGUGGAGAUGCCAUUUGCCUUUCAAUGCAAACAUUGAUGAAGUGUAGCAAUUAUAAAAUCGGACAAGGAUACAAGAUAUGGGUUGGAUUCCAUUGUGACACAUGAUGGGGACAGAUUGCCAUGCUGGCCUUUAGCUAAUCUAUCGUCAUUCAAACAGA